AAUGAAUUUGGAAUCACAUCAUUAUUUGGAGAAAUAAUCUCAAGCAAACAACAAUCAUGUAGAAUUUAUAUACAAGUGUAUAAUCAAUGCUAAAUACAUUUUUACACUUUGGUAAUACAUCAUAUGUCUAAUGAAAGCAAUGGUAAAUACAAUGUAGAUGCAGUUUUAUACAUUUUGGAAAUAAUCUCAAGCAAACAAUAAUCAAGUAGAUGCAGUUUUAUACAUAAAUAAAUCACUGAUGUACACCACUAGCUGAUGUUCGGUGUGCUCGUUGACGACCACUGUGUUAAAAACAUGGAGGUCAAUUGACUCAAUUCACAAGAACAACCUACAAUACCAAAGUAAUUCAGCUAUGAUAAAUGAAUAGAAAAAGCAUCACAGACUAACAAGAGUCACCCGCCCCUAGCUCUCCAUGUUUGCAUCCAUGUCUUGGAAAUUCAACGGGAGCAAGCAGCAACCAAACCCAACAAAGCUGCUUCGAUACGAAACACAAGACUAAUCAAACGCACGAGCUAGAUCCGAUCCGGUGGAGUGUUUUCGCUGAACAGGAGAAGGAGCUCCCUAUGCGCGAGCUGGAUCUGGCGAAUCCGGAAAGAUGUCGUUGAAGUGUCUCCAUAGAAGCGACGCGCCUGGGUUGAGGAGCUCACCGUGGGAAAAGGACAGGGGAAGAGAAGAACAAAGCGGAAAGGGGACUCACUGCGCCUUGGUUGAGGAGCUCAUCGGUACCAAGAACGACGAACACCGGAUUGAAGAGGCGGUCGGGCACCGCAACGGGGUUCACCCCAUGAUAGAUAUGAGGAUGAGGCAAGUAUGAUGACG
rnacentral:lncRNA from 1 species